AUACGGAGGAUCCGAGCGUUAUCCGGAUUUAUUGGGUUUAAAGGGUGCGCAGGCGGGAGAUUAAGUCGGCGGUGAAAUUUUGCAGCUCCAAUGUAAAAAUGGCUUCGAAACUGGGUUUCUUGAGUGUGGUUGAAGUAGGCGGAAUUUGUGGGGUAUCGGGGCAAUGCAUAGAUAUCACGAGGAACUCCGAUUGCGCAGGCAGCUUACUAAACUACUACUGACGCUCAGGCACGAAGGCGUGGGGAUCAAACAGGAUUAGAUACCCUGGUAGUCCACGCAGUAAACGAUGAUUACUAGCUGUUUGCGAUACAAUGUAAGCGGCUGAGCGAAAGCGUUAAGUAAUCCACCUGGGGAGUACGUUCGCAAGAAUGAAACUCAAAUGAAUUGACGGGG
rnacentral:rRNA from 1 species